rnacentral:rRNA from 1 species
UAAGAGCCCUGAGAGAUGAUCAGGUAGAUAGGUUGGAAGUGGAAGUGUGGCGACACAUGUAGCGGACCAAUACUAAUCGCUCGAGGACUUAUCCAAA